rnacentral:rRNA from 1 species
GAUGAACGCUGGCGGCGUGCCUAAUACAUGCAAGUCGAACGAGGUGCUUUUGUAGCAAUACGGAAGUAUCCUAGUGGCGAACGGGUGAGUAACGCGUUGGUGACCUGCCCCAAAGUGUGGGAUAACAGUUCGAAAGGAUUGCUAAUACCGCAUGUGGUCAUUGGGUUUAGAAACCGAUGACUAAAGCAGUAAUGCGCUUUGGGAGGGACCUGCGUCCCAUCAGCUAGUUGGUGAGGUAACGGCUCACCAAGGCGACGACGGGUAGGGGACCUGAGAGGGUGGCCCCCCACAAUGGAACUGAAACACGGGCCAGACUCCUACGGGAGGCAG